UACGGAGGGUGCGAGCGUUGUCCGGAAUCAUUGGGCGUAAAGGGCGCGUAGGUGGCCCGGUCAGUUCGUGGUGAAAGCGCGGGGCUCAACCCUGCGUCGGCCAUGAAUACUGCCGCGGCUGGAGCACUGUAGAGGCAGGCGGAAUUCCGGGUGUAGCGGUGGAAUGCGUAGAGAUCCGGAAGAACACCGGUGGCGAAGGCGGCCUGCUGGGCAGUUGCUGACACCGAGGCGCGACAGCGUGGGGAGCAAACAGG
rnacentral:rRNA from 1 species